rnacentral:RNase_P_RNA from 1 species
CAAGUUGGCUAGGUGAUCGCGCUGUUGGUUCUAUCAACAGUGAGGAAAGUCCGUGCUUCAUAGGGUACGAUGCUAGCUAACCGCUAGGCAGGGUGACCUGACGGAAAGUGCCACAGAGAAGUAGAUUGCCCAAGUGUUACUUGGGUGAGGGUGAAACGGUGUGGUAAGAGCACACCAGCGUCACUGGUGACAGUGGCGGCUUGGCAAACCCCAUCGGAAGCAAGACCAAGCAAAGGUGAGGGGUGACCCGCCCCGCUAUCAGCCUUGGGUAGGUCGCAUGAGGUGUCGAGUGAUCGGCACCCUAGAUAGAUGAUCACCGCCCGUAAGGGUACAGAACACGGCUUAUCGGCCAACUUGGGGU